AAAACCCAAUUUUCGUGCAUUCUAUUUCCUUUCCAUAGUGAUACCUUUUAAGCUAAAUUUUGGAAGCUUUGUGUUGGGAUUUUGAUGGGGCUUUGUGAAGGAAAAAUGUUCCUUAGAUAGUGAGGGUUUUUUUGAUAUCAAACUUGAGUCCAUUUCUUUUGUUGCUGGGUUUGGAAAGUGGUGUUAAAAGAAGAGGGUUUUGGUUGCAAACAAAGAAGGAAAGUGUUCUUCACCUUCUAGUUGCUGAUUUUGAUCCAUUUUUUGUGUGGUUUUGAAUUGUUGAGCAAGUGUUCAAGCUUCCCUUCAGGGAGCAGCUCUGGCAGGAUUACAUUAACUUUUUGUGAUGGAAAUUGGAUUUUUGGGAAGUGAGAAGUGUCUGUGGCAUUAGCAUUAGCAUCCGCAUUGUAUGGCACUUCAUUUUAUUAUUCUACAUGAUAUUAUUUCUUUCUCAAGUUUUUAUGAUCCCAUUAUCCUUUGUCUAUUCUUUGUUUGGAUUCACGGAGGUAUUAAGGAGUGCGCUUUAGGCAAUUCCUACUGAGCUGUGGUUACUCAUUCCUAUUUUAUUCACAUCUUUUUAGGUCAUAGCAUGGAUGGUGUGGAGGGUGUUCCUCCUCAGCUGUAGACAGAGUCGGGGCUGGUGUUAUUGUGUUAUAUUCCGCAUAAUAAACUAUGUUUUGUAUUAUAUUUCCUAGAAUUUUCCUGGCAUGUAAUAAAUUUUCUUUCAGACUUUAAAACUUUAAAGUUUUAAUAUUUGCAUCUUAUCUAUUUAUUUUCAGUUUUGA